GCCGGGCGCGGUGGCGCACGCCUGUAGUCCCAGCUACUCGGGAGGCUGAGCCCGCCGGAUCGCUUGAGCCCAGGAGUUCUGGGCUGCAGUGCGCUAUGCCGAGCGGGCGUCCGCGCUAAGGCCGGCAUCAAUAUGGUGAGCCCCGGGGAGCCGGGGGACACCAGGUUGACUAAGGAGGGGUGAACCGGCCCAGGUCGGAGAC
rnacentral:SRP_RNA from 1 species